rnacentral:rRNA from 1 species
GCCUAAUACAUGCCAGUCGAACGCUUUUUCUUUCACCGGAGCUUGCUCCACCGAAAGAAAAAGAGUGGCGAACGGGUGAGUAACACGUGGGUAACCUGCCCAUCAGAAGGGGAUAACACUUGGAAACAGGUGCUAAUACCGUAUAACAAGUAAAACCGCAUGGUUUUACUUUGAAAGGCGCUUUUGCGUCACUGAUGGAUGGACCCGCGGUGCAUUAGCUAGUUGGUGAGGUAACGGCUCACCAAGGCAACGAUGCAUAGCCGACCUGAGAGGGUGAUCGGCCACAUUGGGACUGAGACACGGCCCAAACUCCUACGGGAGGCAGCAGUAGGGAAUCUUCGGCAAUGGACGAAAGUCUGACCGAGCAACGCCGCGUGAGUGAAGAAGGUUUUCGGAUCGUAAAACUCUGUUGUUAGAGAAGAACAAGGAUGAGAGUAAAAUGUUCAUCCCUUGACGGUAUCUAACCAGAAAGCCACGGCUAACUACGUGCCAGCAGCCGCGGUAAUACGUAGGUGGCAAGCGUUGUCCGGAUUUAUUGGGCGUAAAGCGAGCGCAGGCGGUUUCUUAAGUCUGAUGUGAAAGCCCCCGGCUCAACCGGGGAGGGUCAUUGGAAACUGGGAAACUUGAGUGCAGAAGAGGAGAGUGGAAUUCCAUGUGUAGCGGUGAAAUGCGUAGAUAUAUGGAGGAACACCAGUGGCGAAGGCGGCUCUCUGGUCUGUAACUGACGCUGAGGCUCGAAAGCGUGGGGAGCAAACAGGAUUAGAUACCCUGGUAGUCCACGCCGUAAACGAUGAGUGCUAAGUGUUGGAGGGUUUCCGCCCUUCAGUGCUGCAGCUAACGCAUUAAGCACUCCGCCUGGGGAGUACGACCGCAAGGUUGAAACUCAAAGGAAUUGACGGGGGCCCGCACAAGCGGUGGAGCAUGUGGUUUAAUUCGAAGCAACGCGAAGAACCUUACCAGGUCUUGACAUCCUUUGACCACUCUAGAGAUAGAGCUUCCCCUUCGGGGGCAAAGUGACAGGUGGGUGCAUGGUUGUCGUCAGCUCGUGUCGUG